rnacentral:rRNA from 1 species
CCUACGGGUGGCUGCAGUGGGGGAUAUUGGACAAUGGGGGAAACCCUGAUCCCGCGACGCCGCGUGAGUGAAGAAGUAUUUCGGUAUGUAAAGCUCUAUCAGCAGGGACGAAAGAAAUGACGGUACCUGAGUAAGAAGCCCCGGCUAACUACGUGCCAGCAGCCGCGGUAAUACGUCGGGGGCAAGCGUUAUCCGGAAUUACUGGGUGUAAAGGGAGCGUAGACGGUAAUGCAAGUCUGGAGUGAAAGGCGGGGGCCCAACCCCCGGACUGCUCUGGAAACUGUGUAACGGGAGUGCAGGAGAGGCAGGCGGAAUUCCUAGUGUAGCGGUGAAAUGCGUAGAUAUAUGGAAGAACACCAGUGGCGAAAGCGGCUCUCUGGUCUGUAACUGACGCUGAGGUUCGAAAGCGUGGGUAGCAAACAGGAUUAGAUACCCCAGUAGUC